AGAGUUUGAUCCUGGCUCAGGACGAACGCUGGCGGCGUGCCUAACACAUGCAAGUCGAGCGAGUGGAUUUCCUUCGGGAAUGAAGCUAGCGGCGGACGGGUGAGUAACACGUGGGCAACCUGCCUCAUAGAGGGGAAUAGCCUCCCGAAAGGGAGAUUAAUACCGCAUAAGAUUGUAGCUUCGCAUGAAGUAGCAAUUAAAGGAGCAAUCCGCUAUGAGAUGGGCCCGCGGCGCAUUAGCUAGUUGGUGAGGUAACGGCUCACCAAGGCGACGAUGCGUAGCCGACCUGAGAGGGUGAUCGGCCACAUUGGGACUGAGACACGGCCCAGACUCCUACGGGAGGCAGCAGUGGGGAAUAUUGCACAAUGGGGGAAACCCUGAUGCAGCAACGCCGCGUGAGUGAUGACGGCCUUCGGGUUGUAAAGCUCUGUCUUCAGGGACGAUAAUGACGGUACCUGAGGAGGAAGCCACGGCUAACUACGUGCCAGCAGCCGCGGUAAUACGUAGGUGGCGAGCGUUGUCCGGAUUUACUGGGCGUAAAGGGAGCGUAGGCGGACUUUUAAGUGAGAUGUGAAAUACCCGGGCUCAACUUGGGCGCUGCAUUUCAAACUGGAAGUCUAGAGUGCAGGAGAGGAGAAUGGAAUUCCUAGUGUAGCGGUGAAAUGCGUAGAGAUUAGGAAGAACACCAGUGGCGAAGGCG
rnacentral:rRNA from 1 species